UAAGCGCACGAGGGUCACAUGACCUGGUGUAGAAAACUCCGGUGGUAUGAGAUGGACCCGCGUCUGAUUAGCUAGGUUGGCGAGGUAACGGCCCACCAAGGCGACGAUCAGUAGCCGACCUGAGAGGGUGAUCGGCCACAUUGGGACUGAGACACGGCCCAAACUCCUACGGGGAGGCAGCAGGUGGGGAAUAUUGCACAAUGGGGGAAACCCUGAUGCAGCGACGCCGCGUGAAGGAAGAAGUAUUUCGGUAUGUAAACUUCUAUCAGCAGGGAAGAAAAUGACGGUACCUGACUAAGAAGCCCCGGCUAACUACGUG
rnacentral:rRNA from 1 species